rnacentral:rRNA from 1 species
AGUGAACGCUGGCGGUAGGCCUAACACAUGCAAGUCGAACGGCAGCACAGUAAGAGCUUGCUCUUACGGGUGGCGAGUGGCGGACGGGUGAGGAAUACAUCGGAAUCUACUUUUUCGUGGGGGCUGACGUAGGGAAACUUACGCUAAUACCGCAUACGACCUACGGGUGAAAGCAGGGGAUCUUCGGACCUUGCGCGAUUGAAUGAGCCGAUGUCGGAUUAGCUAGUUGGCGGGGUAAAGGCCCACCAAGGCGACGAUCCGUAGCUGGUCUGAGAGGAUGAUCAGCCACACUGGAACUGAGACACGGUCCAGACUCCUACGGGAGGCAGCAGUGGGGAAUAUUGGACAAUGGGCGCAAGCCUGAUCCAGCCAUACCGCGUGGGUGAAGAAGGCCUUCGGGUUGUAAAGCCCUUUUGUUGGGAAAGAAAAGCAGCAGGUUAAUACCCCGCUGUUCUGACGGUACCCAAAGAAUAAGCACCGGCUAACUUCGU